UACGUAGGGUGCGAGCGUUAAUCGGAAUUACUGGGCGUAAAGCGUGCGCAGGCGGCGCGUUUAAGACAGGUGUGAAAGCCCCGAGCUUAACUUGGGAAUUGCGCUUGUGACUGGCGUGCUGGAGUGUGGCAGAGGGAGGUGGAAUUCCACGUGUAGCAGUGAAAUGCGUAGAGAUGAUGGAGGAACACCGAUGGCGAAGGCAGCCUCCUGGGCCAGCACUGACGCUCAUGCACGAAAGCGUGGGGAGCAAACAGG
rnacentral:rRNA from 1 species